GACGAACGCUGGCGGCGUGCCUAAUACAUGCAAGUAGAACGCUGAAGAGAGGAGCUUGCUCUUCUUGGAUGAGUUGCGAACGGGUGAGUAACGCGUAGGUAACCUGCCUUGUAGCGGGGGAUAACUAUUGGAAACGAUAGCUAAUACCGCAUAACAAUGGAUGACACAUGUCAUUUAUUUGAAAAGGGUAAUUGCUCCACUACAAGAUGGACCUGCGUUGUAUUAGCUAGUAGGUGAGGUAAUGGCUCACCUAGGCGACGAUACAUAGCCGACCUGAGAGGGUGAUCGGCCACACUGGGACUGAGACACGGCCCAGACUCCUACGGGAGGCAGCAGUAGGGAAUCUUCGGCAAUGGGGGCAACCCUGACCGAGCAACGCCGCGUGAGUGAAGAAGGUUUUCGGAUCGUAAAGCUCUGUUGUAAGUCAAGAACGGGUGUGAGAGUGGAAAGUUCACACUGUGACGGUAGCUUACCAGAAAGGGACGGCUAACUACGUG
rnacentral:rRNA from 1 species